AACAUCGUAUAUGAAACAACACAUUUUCUUCUCUCACUCUCUCUACAUACACACACAUUUCCUCUCUCUCUCUCUCUAAAAUUUGCACACUUUCUCUCUCUAAAAGCCUGUAUCUGUAUUAUCCAGAAUAGCAGGUUUUUUUUGAAGCAACAUUUUGAGGAUUUUUUCUGGGAUGGAAAAUGGUGUUGGGGUUGUUGAUGGGUAUGAAAAGGGAGAGAAGAGUGUGGAAGUUGGGGUGAUUGAGGGGAGAGUAGAGGAGGAAGGGAGGGUUGUGGUGGGGUCUGAUGAAGUCAAGGAUUUGGAUGGUGAGGAGGUUUUUGAGGAGGCAAUGAGUGACACAAAGGAUUUGGAGGAGCAUGGUUCAUUGGAUGGUGGGGUUGGUGGGGGAGAUAGGAAUGUUGAGGUGGUUGGUGAGUCGGGUUUGCGAGGGGUAGAUGAGAAUUUGAAUGGUGGAUAUGAGGUUGAGAAGUUUGAGGAGGCGAGUGAGGUUGCAUCUUUGGAGGUGGUUGGGAGUAUUGAAGACAAGGUGGAAUCUUUGGUGGAUGGGAAGAGUGUUGAUGGGGUGGUGGUGGAGGAUGGGGUUGAUGAGGGAGGGACUGAAAAGGAGGUAGAGAAUGAUGAAUUUAAUGGGUCGAGGGAAGACGUGGUUGUUGAUAGUGGAGAAAAUGGUGGAAAGGAGGUAUCUGAGAUUGGUGCUGGUGGAGAAGAGGAAGUCUUGAAGGGUGAGGACGAAGUGGAUGUGAAGUCUGGUCUAGUGAUUGAAAAGUCUGAAGAUAAGGAUUCUGAUGAUGUGAAUUUGGAGCAAAUGACUGUAGAUGAAAAAGCAGAAAGUGGAGGUUGUGAUAAGUUGGAAGGAAGUGUUAUUGAGUCUCCUGUAGAAUCUGAAUUGAAUAGGGAGAUUUUGAAUGAAGGUGGUAAUGGUGAGGAACUGAAGGAGAAUAACUUGGGUACUGAAUGCCAAGACAACAGCAGCAGGGAACUGAAAGAUGCUAUAGCUGGCCUUGUUCCAACCUGCGAAGAUGAUAGCAGUGAUGUACCAAGGGACACUUCAUCUUAUAAGGACACAGAACAUCGGGAUUACAGGAAUGGGAAAGUGGAAGAUACUCAAGUUGGAGUGGAUUCCGAGCGUCAUGUGGAAACUUCUGAACUGAAAGACAUUUCAGUUGAUCUGCAUACAUCUGUGAAAGAAAUUUCAGUAAUUGAAAGCUCACCUUCUGCUGAAUUGUCUAAAACUGAGAAUUCUGAAAAGUUUCAGGGUGCUGCAACUGCCUUGAGAGCAGAGGAUAAUAAAGUUUCUCAACUUCAGCAUACUAAUGAAGAAGUUCAUGAAGCUUCCACCAGCCAUGUUGUGGCUGAGGAGAUUAAAACGAAGGUAGAAAAUACUCAGCAAGAGAAGAAAAGACCUGGAGGUAAUGGAGAAGAGGAGAUACAGCCAGCACCAGAGCUUGCUUCUUCAUUUGGAAAAUCCACAAAUCCUGCUCCCCCUGCUCGUCCUGCUGGCCUUGGUCGUGCUGCCCCACUAUUGGAACCUGCACCUCGGGUUGUUCAGCAGCCUCGUGUGAACGGUAGUGCAUCUCAUAUGCAAAACCAGCAAAUCGAGGAUGCUGUUAAUGGGGAUGCUGAGGAGUAUGAUGAGACUCGGGAAAAACUCCAAAUGAUAAGAGUGAAAUUUUUACGGCUUGCACAUAGGCUUGGACAGACUCCACAUAAUGUUGUUGUGGCACAGGUUUUGUACAGACUGGGAUUAGCUGAGCAGUUGCGAGGGAGAAAUGGGGGUCGUGUUGGUGCGUUUAGCUUUGACCGUGCGAGUGCAAUGGCAGAGCAGCUUGAGGCAGCAGGGCAGGAGCCCCUUGAUUUCUCUUGUACAAUUAUGGUCCUUGGGAAGACAGGAGUUGGUAAAAGUGCAACCAUCAAUUCGAUAUUUGAUGAAGUUAAGUUCAGCACUGAUGCUUUUCAAAUGGGUACAAAGAAGGUGCAGGAUGUUGUGGGAACGGUGCAGGGGAUUAAGGUACGUGUCAUUGACACUCCAGGCCUUCUCCCUUCUUUGUCAGACCAGCGGCAGAAUGAGAAGAUUCUCCACUCUGUUAAGCGCUUUAUCAAGAAAACUCCUCCAGAUAUUGUAUUGUAUCUUGAUAGAUUGGACAUGCAGAGCAGGGAUUUUAGUGAUAUGCCACUCUUGCGCACCAUCACUGAGAUAUUUGGUCCAUCUAUAUGGUUCAAUGCAAUUGUGGUCUUAACUCAUGCAGCCUCUGCUCCACCUGAUGGUCCAAAUGGUACUGCUUCUAGUUAUGACAUGUUUGUGACCCAGCGUUCUCAUGUUGUCCAGCAAGCCAUUCGUCAAGCAGCUGGAGAUAUGCGGCUUAUGAAUCCUGUUUCAUUAGUAGAGAACCAUUCGGCAUGCAGAACAAAUAGGGCUGGGCAGAGAGUGCUGCCAAAUGGUCAGGUUUGGAAGCCUCAUUUGUUACUGCUCUCUUUUGCAUCAAAGAUUUUGGCUGAAGCAAACGCACUUUUAAAAUUGCAAGAUAGUCCCCCUGGCAAGCCUUUCCCAAAUCGAACAAGAGCACCUCCUUUACCUUUCCUUCUCUCUUCCCUUCUCCAAUCAAGACAACAGGUGAAGCUGCCUGAGGAGCAGUUUGGUGAUGAUGAUGAUGAUGUAGAUGAUGAUCUUGAUGAGUCGUCAGAUUCCGAUGAGGAAACAGAAUUUGAUGAAUUGCCACCAUUUAAACGUCUGACGAAGGCCCAGGAGGCAAGGCUCUCUAAAGCUCAGAAGAAGGCAUAUUUUGAUGAGUUGGAAUAUAGGGAAAAGCUUUUUAUGAAGAAGCAGUUGAAGGAGGAGAAAAAGAGACGGAAGAUGAUGAAGAAGAUGGCAUCUUCGGCAAAGGAUAUGCCUAGUGACUUCAGUGAGAAUGUAGAAGAAGAAAGUGGUGGGGGCGCAUCUUUGCCAAUUCCCUCAGCUGAUUAUAACUUACCUGCUUCUUUCGAUUCUGAUAAUCCUACUUACCGGUAUCGCCAUCUUGAUUCAACCAAUCAGUGGUUUGUAAGGCCUGUUCUAGACAGCCAUGGUUGGGACCAUGAUGUUGGUUAUGAAGGAAUAAAUGUAGAAAGAUUGUUUGUGGUUAGAGACAAAAUACCCUUAUCUUUUUCAAGCCAGGUUACAAAGGAUAAAAAGGAUGCCAAUGUCCAACUGGAAGUAGCCAGUUCAAUAAAGCACGGUGAAGGGAAAGCAACUUCAGUAGGUUUUGAUAUGCAGUCUGUUGGAAAGGAUUUAGCUUACACUCUACGGAGUGAGACAAGGUUUAGUAAUUCUAGGAAGAACAGGGCAACUGCUGGUGUCUCAGUUACUCUCUUGGGUGAUGCCUUAUCAGCUGGAUUGAAAGUUGAAGACAAAUUGAUUGCUAAUAAACGGUUCAGGUUGGUUAUGACUGGUGGCGCAAUGACGGCUCGUGGUGAUGUUGCUUAUGGUGGUAGUUUGGAGGCACAGUUGAGAGAUAAGGAUUAUCCUCUUGGUCGUUCUCUUUCAACUCUAGGUCUUUCUGUCAUGGAUUGGCAUGGUGAUCUUGCCAUUGGUUUAAAUAUACAGUCACAGAUCCCUGUGGGACGGUCUUCAAACUUGAUUGCUCGUGCCAAUCUGAAUAAUAGGGGGGCAGGACAGGUCAGCAUUCGCUUAAAUAGCUCGGAACAGAUUCAAAUAGCUUUGGUCGGCCUCGUUCCUCUUCUCAGAAAGCUACUUGGUCAUCUUCAACAAUUGCAGGACAAGUCAGCAUUCGCUUAAAUAGCUUGGAACCGAUUCAAAUAGCUUUGGCCAGCCUCAUUCCUCUCUCAGAAAGCUACUUGGUCAUUUUCAACAAUUGCAGUGUAGUCAAUGAUGAAAUUAGGUUAUACUGCAGCAGCUUCGCGGUUAUAGGAAAUAACUUUUAAAUGACCAUAUCUUAAUGAUCAUCAUCAAAAGUAACAAGUUGAGUGGAGCAACAUCACCUUCGGAUGGUUCCAUCAUUGACACUAUUUUUAUUAUGCACGAAUCACAAGAAGUUACAUCAGGGGUUAUGAAGAAAGUUACGAAAAAUUGUCUUCCUUAUCUUGUUGUAAUUAUAUAUCAAGCAGGAAAUUGCUUAAUGCCGUCAGGAUAAAAAUAAGUAUAGGGACACAAAUUGUUCCACAACUUGUUGAGGUGGCAGGAUGUUAGUGGUGAAAAGUGAUUGUCCACUACUCAUAACUUGCCAUCUGAACUAAGUUGCGGAACAAAGUUGUGGAGGAUAAGUGUGAACUGAUAAUCACUCCAUUCAAGGUAGCCCCAUAUGAUGAGAUAGAUGUCUACUGCGCCCCUUGUACUCUAAAAUGAGGCUGUCAAUUCUUUUCUUUGGUAGGCUAAUCUAAUGCUGUUCCGUUUGUUCUAUGGUCUCACCCUAUCUGUUGUUGAUGGGCCAAGAAAUUUUCAGCCUUAGCUUUCCAAAUGAAUACAUGUGAUACCUUGGACC